GGUAACUGUAAGAAGCCGAAAAGUGCCUUUAUGUCUUCCUUUCAAUGUAUGAAGAGGACUAAAGGGCUUUCACACAAGCUAAGUCUCAUAACAAAAUAUAACCUAUGUGACUGGAAGGAAAGGAUCCUUGAAUUUCUGCAAUAAAGGCUGUCAGAAAAACAAGAAUUCCGUUCUUUGAAAAGAUUAGUGGUUUUAUUCCAGAAGCAGAUACUGAGGGGAGAAGAGUCAAAGAGAAAUUCCAGAGAGGAAACCUGGAGAUAAGGGAGAAGACAUGAGACUCUGGAACAUCCUAUGGGUGCUUUUUCUCUUGGUUUUCUCAUUCCUGCACUCUGUAUGAUAUUGGGUGAUGCCAAGAAGUGUGCAGUACUUCUGAAACUCCCCGUACUACACAAAGAAGCAGAAGCAAAACUUUUUUCUGGCCUUUUGGUGCUUCUUUUUGUCUGCACCAGGACUUCCACAGUGACAGUGACCACGAGCACAAUAAUUUCUCCCUGUCCUGGAUCUGCUUUCAUAUUAAAAGGAGCUAAUGGCACUGACAACUCCAGAUAUCUCAACACAUUAUUUGGUGUGUUACAGCGGACAAUUAACUCUCAAGACCUCUAGGCAUCCUCUUGACUACAGAGACACUGUGUCUCCUUAAGUUGUUUUUCUGCUGCCCUUGAAAGAGACAGGCUUGCCAACCACUCACCUGAUCGUGCAAAUGCAUAGCUAGUGCACUUCAGAAAGUGUGACCUUUUAGUAUUAGAAAAGAAGAACUGUUGAUAGAUUGUGCCAUUUACUCCUCUUUCACAUGGCAGCAGACAACAGGAGCAUCACUAUAUUGAUAUGAACAUGCUUGCCUCAAAUUCACCGGUCUAAAUAAGGAGAAAUAGAACUAAAUUUCCCAGUGUCUGCCUGUGGCACAACAAGGACAUACUUCCUCAGAAUAUGGAAUUCUGAGCAAAAUACCAAAAUCCAAAGCUCAAACACAAGGAGUCAUGUAACACAGAAUCAGUAGAAUUUAUGGCAGUUUACAAUACAUUUUCAAAUAGCUAAUCUUGUGAUGGAUGUUUUAUUCCUGGUGUUUACUGGUAACCAUUGUUGUUAAAUACUAUCAUCAAAAGCCAUUGAUAUAGUGCAAUAAAAAGAAGUAACCUCACUAUGGUAUGUAGGCA
rnacentral:lncRNA from 1 species